rnacentral:rRNA from 1 species
CUGGCGGCAUGCCUACACAUGCAAGUCGAACGGUAACAGGAAGAAGCUUGCUUCUUUGCUGACGAGUGGCGGACGGGUGAGUAAUACAUAGGAAUCUGCCCAGUAGCGGGGGAUAGCCCGGGGAAACCCGGAUUAAUACCGCAUACGCCCUACGGGGGAAAGCGGGGGAUCUUCGGACCUCGCACUAUUGGAUGAGCCUAUGUCCGAUUAGCUUGUUGGUAGGGUAAAAGCCUACCAAGGCGACGAUCGGUAGCUGGUCUGAGAGGAUGAUCAGCCACACCGGAACUGAGACACGGUCCGGACUCCUACGGGAGGCAGCAGUGGGGAAUAUUGGACGAUGGGGGCAACCCUGAUCCAGCAAUGCCGCGUGUGUGAAGAAGGCCUGCGGGUUGUAAAGCACUUUCGGUUGGGACGAAACAGCAGUCGGUUAAUACCCGGCAGCCUUGACUUAACCAACAGAAGAAGCACCGGCUAACUCCGUGCCAGCAGCCGCGGUAAUACGGAGGGUGCGAGCGUUAUUCGGAAUUACUGGGCGUAAAGCGCGCGUAGGCGGCGCGGCAAGUCAGAUGUGAAAGCCCUGGGCUCAACCUGGGAAUUGCAUUUGAAACUGCCGAGCUUGAGUGAGGUAGAGGGUGGCGGAAUUCCCGGUGUAGGAGUGAAAUCCGUAGAUAUCGGGAGGAACACCCAGUGGCGAAGGCGGCCACCUGGGCCUUUACUGGACGCUGANGUGCGAAAGCGUGGGUAGCAAACAGGAUUAGAUACCCUGGUAGUCCACGCUGUAAACGAUGGAUACUAGGUGCUGGGAUAGAAUUUCGGUGCCGU